rnacentral:rRNA from 1 species
UGAGGAAUUUUCCGCAAUGGGCGAAAGCCUGACGGAGCAAUACCGCGUGAGGGAUGAAUGCCUAUGGGUUGUAAACCUCUUUUCUCAAGGAGGAAGAUAUGACGUUACUUGAGGAAUAAGCAUCGGCUAACCCUGUGCCAGCAGCCGCGGUAAUACAGGGGAUGCAAAGUUUUAUCCGGAAUUAUUGGGCGUAAAGCGUCUGCAGGUUGAUAAUUAAGUCUUUUGUUAAAUCUUUGGGCUCAACCCAAAAUCUGCAAAAGAAACUAUUUAUCUUGAGUGUGGUAGAGGUAAGGGGAAUUUCCAGUGGAGCGGUGAAAUGCGUAGAGAUUGGAAAGAACACCAAUAGCGAA